rnacentral:rRNA from 1 species
AUCGAACGCUGGCGGCAGGCCUAACACAUGCAAGUCGAGCGGAUCAAUGGAGCUUGCUCCUGGAUUCAGCGGCGGCCGGGUGAGUAAUGCCUAUGAAUCUGCCUGGUAGUGGGGGAUAACGUCCGGAAACGGGCGCUAAUACCCCAUACGUCCUGUGGGCGCAAUUGGGGGAUCUUCGGACCUCUCGCCAUCAGAUGAGACUAGGUCGGAUUGUCUAGUUGGGGGGGUAAAGGCCUACCAAGGCGACGACCCGUAACUGGUCUGAGAGGAUGAUCAGUCACACUUGAGAUGAGACGCGGUGCCAAAUCGUACGGGAGACAGCAGUGGGGAAUAUUGGGGAGUGGGCGAAAGCGUGAUCCAGGCAAGGCGCGUGUGUGAAGAAGGUCUUCGGAUUGUAAAGCACUUUAAGUUGGGAGGAAGGGCAGUAAGUUACUACCUUGCUGUUUGGAGGUUACCAACAGAGUAAGCACCGGCUAACUUCGU